CCAUUCAAUGAUGAGUUUGUUAUCGCCCCAGUCUGAAAUUCAACUGUUGAUUGAUAUUAUUCUGAAAUUU